AACGCUAGCUACAGGCUUAACACAUGCAAGUCGAGGGGCAGCGCAGUGUAGCAAUACAUGGGCGGCGACCGGCGCACGGGUGCGUAACGCGUAUCCAACCUUCCCGAUACUCUUGGAUAGCCUUCCGAAAGGGAGAUUAAUACAAGAUGGUGUUUCACUUUCGCAUGUUAUUGAAACUAAAGAUUUAUCGGUAUCGGAUGGGGAUGCGUGACAUUAGAUAGUAGGCGGGGUAACGGCCCACCUAGUCUACGAUGUCUAGGGGUUCUGAGAGGAAGGUCCCCCACACUGGAACUGAGACACGGUCCAAACUCCUACGGGAGGCAGCAGUGAGGAAUAUUGGUCAAUGGUCGGAAGACUGAACCAGCCAAGUAGCGUGAAGGAUGAAGGUUCUAUGGAUUGUAAACUUCUUUUAUACGGGAAUAAAACCUCCCACGUGUGGGAGCUUGUAUGUACCGUAUGAAUAAGCAUCGGCUAACUCCGUGCCAGCAGCCGCGGUAAUACGGAGGAUGCGAGCGUUAUCCGGAUUUAUUGGGUUUAAAGGGAGCGUAGACGGGAUGUUAAGUCAGUUGUGAAAGGCUGCGGCUCAACCGCAGCACUGCAGUUGAUACUGGCGUCCUUGAGUGCGGUUGAGGUAUGUGGAAUUCGUGGUGUAGCGGUGAAAUGCUUAGAUAUCACGAAGAACUCCGAUUG
rnacentral:rRNA from 1 species